CGAUACGAGUUUGAUCCUGGCUCAGAACGAACGCUGGCGGCAGGCUUAACACAUGCAAGUCGAACGCCCGUAGCAAUACGGGAGUGGCGGACGGGUGAGUAACGCGUGGGAACGUACCCUGAGGUACGGAAUAACCGAGGGAAACUUCGGCUAAUACCGUAUGAGCCCCGCAAGGGGGAAAGAUUUAUCGCCUUGGGGAGCGGCCCGCGUCGGAUUAGCUAGUUGGUGGGGUAACGGCCUACCAAGGCUUCGAUCCGUAGCUGGUCUGAGAGGACGAUCAGCCACACUGGGACUGAGACACGGCCCAGACUCCUACGGGAGGCAGCAGUGGGGAAUCUUGCGCAAUGGGGGCAACCCUGACGCAGCCAUGCCGCGUGAACGAUGAAGGCCUUAGGGUGUAAAGUCUUUUACCCGUGACGAUGAUGACGGUAACGGGGGAUAAGCUCCGGCUAACUUCGUG
rnacentral:rRNA from 1 species